rnacentral:lncRNA from 1 species
GGGUGCACCGAACCACUAUAUGUCCUUUGUGUUUGUAAUGCCUCUAGUUAUUGUCUAACUAACACACUUACUUACUUAGAUAAAUUGCUUGCUUAAUUCUUAUCCGCACAUCCUUUAGUUGCAAGCAUAUUUAAUCAAGUCGAAGUCUAUACAUCAAACCCUUGCUAAGUUUAACUUUCACUGUGCAUCUAUACAACUUAGCAUAGUUAAUCAAAAAGUUUUAGAAGUAGCAUAAAAGUUUUGAAAGACCCAAUUCACCCCCCCUCUUGGCUUGUAUCUACUGGGCACCAAGUGGUAUCAGAGCAGGUGCUCAAAUAUUAUUUGUAGUCUUAACCGACCAGAGCCAAAGAUCAUGACAACUCAAAUAGAUAGUUUUCUAGGAGAAGGACAAUCAAUUAAUACACCUCCACUAUUUAAUGGCAUAAACUAUACACAUUGGAAAAUACGCAUGCACAU